rnacentral:rRNA from 1 species
UACGAAGGGGGGCUAGCGUUGCUCGGAAUCACUGGGCGUAAAGGGCGCGUAGGCGGCUGAUUUAGUCGAGGGUGAAAGCCCGUGGCUCAACCACGGAAUGGCCUUCGAUACUGGUUGGCUUGAGACCGGAAGAGGACAGCGGAACUGCGAGUGUAGAGGUGAAAUUCGUAGAUAUUCGCAAGAACACCAGUGGCGAAGGCGGCUGUCUGGUCCGGUUCUGACGCUGAGGCGCGAAAGCGUGGGGAGCAAACAGG